GCAGUCGAGCGAACGGACGAGAGUGCUUGCACUCUCUGAUGUUAGCGGCGGACGGGUGAGUAACACGUGGGUAACCUACCUAUAAGACUGGGAUAACUUCGGGAAACCGGAGCUAAUACCGGAUAAUAUUUAGCUUCGCAUGAAGCAAUAGUGAAAGACGGUUCUGCUGUCACUUAUAGAUGGACCCGCGGUGUAUUAGCUAGUUGGUGAGGUAACGGCUCACCAAGGCAACGAUACAUAGCCGACCUGAGAGGGUGAUCGGCCACACUGGGACUGAGACACGGCCCAGACUCCUACGGGAGGCAGCAGUAGGGAAUCUUCCGCAAUGGACGAAAGUCUGACGGAGCAACGCCGCGUGAGUGAAGAAGGUUUUCGGAUCGUAAAACUCUGUUGUAAGGGAAGAACAAGUACGUUAGUAACUGAACGUACCUUGACGGUACCUUACCAGAAAGCCACGGCUAACUACGUGCCAGCAGCCGCGGUAAUACGUAGGUGGCAAGCGUUAUCCGGAAUUAUUGGGCGUAAAGCGCGCGUAGGCGGUCUCUUAAGUCUGAUGUGAAAGCCCCCGGCUCAACCGGGGAGGGUCAUUGGAAACUGGGAGACUUGAGUGCAGAAGAGGAGAGUGGAAUUCCAUGUGUAGCGGUGAAAUGCGCAGAGAUAUGGAGGAACACCAGUGGCGAAGGCGGCUCUCUGGUCUGUAACUGACGCUGAGGUGCGAAAGCGUGGGGAUCAAACAGGAUUAGAUACCCUGGUAGUCCACGCCGUAAACGAUGAGUGCUAAGUGUUGGGGGGUUUCCGCC
rnacentral:rRNA from 1 species